UUAUGAAGUCCAACACCCCCUCAAGUUGGAGGGUAGGAAGAGACCCCUAACUUGCUGAGAAGAUUAUGAUGAAGAGGACCAGUCAGGGUCUUUGUAAAUAGAUAUGUAAGCUGAGAAGAAGAGCAGACAAAAAAAGAGAACUGAGUCCAGCAAUGUACUGUUGACGGAUAAAGUAACAGUCGAUUUCGACGUGCUUUUUCCAUUCAUGAAAUAUCAGGUUCUUAGCAAUAUGAAUGGAAGUAAGGCUAUCAGAAUGAAGAGACACUGGCAAACAAAUCAGAACAUAAAGAUCUUCGAAUAAAUGUACCAAUCAUGUACCUCAAUUGGAAUCAUAGUAAGCAGCAACUAGAAAGAUGGAGAACUUGAUAUAAAGAGAUCAAGACCACGACUCUUCAAUAGAUACUAAAGAACUCGCAAAGUUGCAGUGAAAUGAGGGAUUCUAGAAUCCUACAAAUAUCGACUGAGAUGCAAAAUAGUAAAUGAAAUAUCAGGCCUCUCACGAGUCAGAUAAUCUAGCUUACUCAAUAAAUGUUAAAGGUGCAAGGUAUCAAAACAGAUCCAAAAUAAACUUACAUUGAGAGAGGAUCAGACUAUGAGGUUCUCGAAUGAAUUCCAA